rnacentral:rRNA from 1 species
GACAGAGGGUGCAAACGUUGUUCGGAAUUACUGGGCAUAAAGAGCACGUAGGUGGUGCGCUAAGUCACGUGUGAAAUCCCCCGGCUCAACCGGGGAAUGGCGCGUGAUACUGGCGGACUUGAGGCGGGUAGGGGUGAGCGGAACUCCAGGUGGAGCGGUGAAAUGCGUAGAUAUCUGGAGGAACACCGGUGGCGAAAGCGGCUCACUGGACCUGAUCUGACACUGAGGUGCGAAAGCUAGGGUAGCAAACGGGG